CCUACGGGUGGCUGCAGUAGGGAAUCUUGCACAAUGGGGGAAACCCUGAUGCAGCAACGCCGCGUGAGUGAUGACGGCCUUCGGAUCGUAAAGCUCUGUCUUCAGGGACGAUAAUGACGGUACGUGGGGAGUAAGCAACGUCUAACUACGUUCCAGCAGCCGUGGUAAUACGUAGGUGGCGAGCGUUGGCCGGAUUUAAUGGGCGUAAAGGGUGCGCAGGCGGACUUUUAAGUGAGAUGUGAAAUACUGGGGAUUAACUUGAGUGUUGCAUGUCAAACUGGAAGUCUAGAGUGCAGGAGAGGAGAAUGGAAUUCCUAGUGUAGCGGUGAAAUGCGUAGAGAUUAGGAAGAACACCAGUGGCGAAGGCGAUUCUCUGGACUGUAACUGACGCUGAGGCUCGAAAGCGUGGGGAGCAAACAGGAUUAGAUACCCCAGUAGUC
rnacentral:rRNA from 1 species